rfam:Oryza glumipatula chromosome 6, whole genome shotgun sequence.
AAAAAGACGAACCCUAGGUUUGCGUGUCCAACUUUGACUGUCCGUUUUAUAUGAAAUUUUUUUAUAAUUCGUAUUUUCAUUGUUAUUAUAUGAUAAAACAUGAUUAAUAUUUUAUGCGUGACUUGUCUUUUUAAUUUUUUUUAUAAUUUUUUCAAAUAAGACGGACGGUCAAAUAUUGGGCACGGAAACCAGGGUUUGUCUUUUU